rnacentral:RNase_P_RNA from 2 species
AGUUUCAGGUAAUCGCGGCUAAACUAGAUUUAGCUGAGGAAAGUCCAUGCUCGCACAAGCUGAGAUGCUUGUAGUGUUCGUGCUCAGCGAAACAAUAAGCUGAGGUAGUAUCCUUGAGAUGCUAACGGCGAAGAAAACAUCUAAGGCCUAAGCUAUGAUGGAGUACUUCCUAAGGUGCCACAGUGACGAUUCUUAAUGGAAACAUUAAGGUGGAACGGGUAAACCCCUCGAGCGAGCAACCCAAACAUUCGGUAGGGGCACUUUUUCAAUGGAAUUUAACAGAGAAAGAGACAAGUAAUUGUAGAUAGAUGAUUACCCUUUUGUUAAGCUGCCUAUUCUUAACAAUUGACAAAACAUGGCUUAUCGAA